AUCGCUUCUCGGCCUUUUGGCUAAGAUCAGAGGUAUAGUAUCUGUUCUUAUCAGUUUAAUAUCUGAUCGUCCCUAUCUGGGGACCAUAUAUUAAAUUGAUUUUUGGAACAGGGGAGAUGGAAUAAGAGCACUCCCGUCCAUAUGCCUUCGACCUGAGUACGAGUACUUCAGGAGGCUGAUUGCACUUUCU